UACGAAGGGGGCUAGCGUUGCUCGGAAUCACUGGGCGUAAAGCGCACGUAGGCGGCUUUUUAAGUCAGGGGUGAAAUCCCGGGGCUCAACCUCGGAACUGCCUUUGAUACUGCAAAUCUCGAGUCCGGAAGAGGUGAGUGGAAUUCCUAGUGUAGAGGUGAAAUUCGUAGAUAUUAGGAAGAACACCAGUGGCGAAGGCGGCUCACUGGUCCGGUACUGACGCUGAGGUGGCGAAAGCG
rnacentral:rRNA from 1 species